GGUCCCAAGGGUUGGGCUGUUCGCCCAUUAAAGCGGUACGUGAGCUGGGUUUAGAACGUCGUGAGACAGUUCGGUCCCUAUCUGUCGCGGGCGGAGGAGAGUUGACGGGAGCUGCCCCUAGUACGAGAGGACCGGGGUGGACGGACCUCUGGUGUGCGAGCUGUCCUGCCAAGGGCACCGCUCGGUAGCUAUGUCCGGCAGGGAUAAGCGCUGAAGGCAUCUAAGCGCGAAACCCGCCUGAAGAUGAGCUCUCCCGGACGCAAGUCCCGGAAGGCCCCUGGGAGAUGACCAGGUAGAUAGGCCGGAGGUGUACGCGCCGAGAGGCGUUGAGCUGACCGGUACUAAUCGGCCGAGCGGCUUGGCCACGUACAACCCUC
rnacentral:rRNA from 1 species